GGCAAGUAGGGGGGAGGGGCGGGUGGAAUAGGUAGGGGGGGGGUGUGGGCCGGAAUGUCUGGGCGUAAAGGGCGCGUAGGUGGGUUGUUGCGUUGUUCGUGAAAACUCGCAGCUUAACUGUGGGCGGGCGGGCGAGACGGGCAGACUAGAGGACUGCAGGGGAGACUGGAAUUCCUGGUGUAGCGGUGGAAUGCGCAGAUAUCAGGAGGAACACCGGUGGCGAAGGCGGGUCUCUGGGCAGUAACUGACGCUGAGGAGCGAAAGCGUGGGGAGCGAACAGGAUUAGAUACCCUGGUAGUC
rnacentral:rRNA from 1 species